GGUUGGGUAACACUAACUGGAGGACCGAACCGACUAAUGUUGAAAAAUUAGCGGAUGACUUGUGGCUGGGGGUGAAAGGCCAAUCAAACCGGGAGAUAGCUGGUUCUCCCCGAAAGCUAUUUAGGUAGCGCCUCGUGAACUCAUCUUCGGGGGUAGAGCACUGUUUCGGCUAGGGGGUCAUCCCGACUUACCAACCCGAUGCAAACUACGAAUACCGAAGAAUGUUAUCACGGGAGACACACGGCGGGUGCUAACGUCCGUCGUGAAGAGGGAAACAACCCAGACCGCCAGCUAAGGUCCCAAAGUCAUGGUUAAGUGGGAAACGAUGUGGGAAGGCACAGACAGCCAGGAUGUUGGCUUAGAAGCAGCCAUCAUUUAAAGAAAGCGUAAUAGCUCACUGGUCGAGUCGGCCUGCGCGGAAGAUGUAACGGGGCUAAACCAUGCACCGAAGCUGCGGCAGCGACACUAUGUGUUGUUGGGUAGGG
rnacentral:rRNA from 1 species